rnacentral:snRNA from 1 species
GGAUGUGAGGGCGAUCUGGCUGCGACAUCUGUCACCCCACUGAUCGCCAGGGUUGAUUCGGCUGAUGUGGCUGGCUAGGCGGGUGUCCCCUUCCUCCCUCACCGCUCCAUGUGCGUCCCUCCCGAAGCUGCGCGCUCGGUCGAAGAGGACGACCAUCCCCGAUAGAGGAGGACCGGUCUUCGGUCAAGGGUAUACGAGUAGCUGCGCUCCCCUGCUAGAACCUCCAAACAAGCUCUCAAGGAAGGAGGAUCAUGGCACAAAGUCAGCCCCUGG